CCUCAAUUUAGCAGAGAUGCUUUGGUGCCUUCGGGAACUCUGAGACAGGUGCUGCAUGGCUGUCGUCAGCUCGUGUUGUGAAAUGUUGGGUUAAGUCCCGCAACGAGCGCAACCCUUAUCCUUUGUUGCCAGCGAUUCGGUCGGGAACUCAAAGGAGACUGCCAGUGAUAAACUGGAGGAAGGUGGGGAUGACGUCAAGUCAUCAUGGCCCUUACGAGUAGGGCUACACACGUGCUACAAUGGCAUAUACAAAGAGAAGCGACCUCGCGAGAGCAAGCGGACCUCAUAAAGUAUGUCGUAGUCCGGAUUGGAGUCUGCAACUCGACUCCAUGAAGUCGGAAUCGCUAGUAAUCGUGGAUCAGAAUGCCACGGUGAAUACGUUCCCGGGCCUUGUACACACCGCCCGUCACACCAUGGGAGUGGGUUGCAAAAGAAGUAGGUAGCUUAACCUUCGGGAGGGCGCUUACCACUUUGUGAUUCAUGACUGGGGUGAAGUCGUAACAAGGUAGCCGUAAGGGGGGUUC
rnacentral:rRNA from 1 species